CAUUUGCCGACUAAAAAUUAAUUUCGUCGCCAAAGGCGUGAAAAUUUUAGAGGGAAACCAUUUAAUUGCCCCCGCCUGUUCUCUGUUUAAACCAAUCAGAUUGUUCUCUCUCAUACAGAUUCUCCUUCACCACCAAACCUCACCCCGUCUCACCUCACUCUGUGACUUAGGCCUUAAAAACAUGUUCGUCUCUCUCUCACUCUGUGACUCUCUCAGUCUGCGACUGUCUCUGUCUCUCGCAUCUGCCUUCCUCUGAUUCUCUCUCUCGCAUCUGCCCAGCUCCGAUUCUCUCUCUCUCUCUCUCUCUCUCUCGCUUUUGUCUUCAUCGUCGUUGGUACAGGAGCACCAUCGGUGUCGACGCCCGUCGCACAUAAGGACCAUCGCAAACCAACAACCUAUAUCAUCUUAUCUCGUAGUCACGAUCCAUCAUUGGGGCACUAGCCAAGGGUUCUUGCACUGCAUCCAUUUCAACGCACCAAUACUCAACAGAUAUGUGCUCAGUUUUUUUAUUGGCCUCCUGAGAAAACAGAUGCAUGUCAAGUGUCCUGUAUCUAGAAUCAUCAAGCAGAGAAAAAUUCAAGGACAAGAUUGCUUGGAGGUUUCUUGGGAAGAAAUGCAUGGGUGGGCUUAACACCCCAAUAGUUCCAGCUGAUCUAAUUGAGAGGAUCCUUGGCGAGCAAGUGCAAAUUGCUCAUGAAAAUAGCACUAAUGUCAUGCUGUACAAAAUUGCUUUGUCCAUUAUUUAGAUGAAUGAAUUCGUGCACAAAGCUAAAUUGUACAUGACUAAUUGGCACUAUAAGAAUUUUUGGAAGUAUUAUAUAUUUUUGGUUAGAUGUGUAUGGAAUAUAUUUCGAUAGAAUAGUAGUUAUAUUUUUUGAUGGGUGUAUAUGGAAAUAUUUGGAUAGACUAGUUGUAUUUUUUGAUAAAUGCGCAUGGAUAAAAGUUUAAAUUGGAAGAAUAUGUACUUUGGAAUUACUUGUGGAUGGAAACUUAUAAUAGUUGCUGAUUUUUAUUAAA